rnacentral:rRNA from 1 species
UAGGGAAUCUUCCACAAUGGACGCAAGUCUGAUGGAGCAACGCCGCGUGAGUGAAGAAGGUUUUCGGACCGUAAAGCUCUGUUGUUGGUGAAGAAGGAUAGAGGUAGUAACUGGCCUUUAUUUGACGGUAAUCAACCAGAAAGUCACGGCUAACUACGUGCCAGCAGCCGCGGUAAUACGUAGGUGCCAAGCGUUGUCCGGAUUUAUUGGGCGUAAAGCGAGCGCAGGCGGAAGAAUAAGUCUGAUGUGAAAGCCCUCGGCUUAACCGAGGAAUUGCAUCGGAAACUGUUUUCUUGAGUGCAGAAGAGGAGAGUAGAACUCCAUGUGUAGCGGUGGAAUGCGUAGAUAUAUGGAAGAAUACCAGUGGCGAAGGCGGCUCUCUGGUCUGCAACUGACGCUGAGGCUCGAAAGCAUGGGUAGCGAACAGGAUUAGAUACCCUGGUAGUCCAUGCCGUAAACGAUGAGUGCUAAGUGUUGGGAGGCUUCCGCCUCUCAGUGCUGCAGCUAACGCAUUAAGCACUCCGCCUGGGGGAGUACGACCGCAAGGUUGAAAC